CUUGUGUAUCCUGCAGGGAACACACUGCCACAUGCAGUCCAUCACACUAGGACUUGAGACACCUUUGGGAGAUUAUGUAAUAAUCGAGCGCACAGCUAACAACGGCCAGUUUCCUUUAUCAUCGUUACUUUAUUGCCCCAUAGCAGAAGUGUCCACGUGGCGGGGCUGGAAACUGGAAGUAUCCUGAGCUAAUUCUGCUACCACCAUCAUCUAGUGAUGGCUCCCACUGAUUGUCGCUGGAAGCUUGCGUCCUUCUCAGGACGGAUGAUGGCUGCGAUGUCAACAUUUGGAACAUGGAAGAUGGACACGAAAGAAGAAGAUCCUAUUAAUGUUUUGCGUAUCUUUCAUUCAUUUGUUCUAUAUCGCUCUACAUCACCAUCUAUAUCUUUCAUUUCCCUUUCCCCUGACUUCCUGUCUAAAGAAGGGUCUCGACCCGAAACGUCACUUAUUCCUUUUCUCCAGAGAUGCUGUCUGACCCAUUGGGUAUUUUAUGUCUUGUCUUUAUGCAGUCGUACUUUUAAGUUAAGAAAGGAGAAAACAAGAAACUAGACCAGUUAGCCUGAUGUUACAAAAAGAUAAAAGACUGUAAUCAAUAAUUAAAACAGUGGUAAUGGGACACAGAAAAUAGUGAUAUGUGGCAGAGUCAACAUGAAAGGGAAAUAUUUUUUGUCAAAUCAGUUGGAAUUCUUUGGGAUUGUAAGGAAUCAAGUUGAUGUAAGCAGGUUUGGAGAAUUCGAAUUAAUAAUGAAGAAAUACUUCAAGGUUGCAAGGAAACUAUGUUCAUUCAGGUAUUGUGAAAUACAGGAUUGAACAAGUUGCAAGUCACACACACUUCUGAUCGAUGGGUCUUCACUGAUGUGAGCAGCAGCUGGAGGGUCUAAGUGUUGCGGCCUUCUGUCAUGGGUCCUAGCACCAUUCUGGAUCCCAGUCUGAGGUGCAGUUCAGUGAGCUUGUUGACUGCAUGCACAUAGAAACCCAGGCUUCUUCCCCAAUCUACAAACAAUUGUGUUAUUAAAACUGGGCAUCCUCCUUACUGAUGGAAACAGAGGUUAUUUAACAUAUCAGGGCUGAGCUGGUCUUGGCAGUCUCUUGGAAGAAAGGAUUGUCUUGUCUUGUUGCUAUGUGACUUUGAGGUUGCAUGAUCUGAAGCUCGUGAUUCACUAGUUCAUCCAACUGAGCCCGUUUAGUUUUCUAAGCACCUAAUUGUUUGUUUUCCUAAGUGUGUCUGCUUGCCCAGCAUAGGGAUUGUUAGCAGACAACCCUGUUUUAGCUGAAAAUCCUGUUUUAACUUUAAAUUACACUUGAUAAGGGGGGGUUAAUUGGUGGUAUAUUUGGUCUUCCAGAAGCCCUUGGAGAAGACACCAUUCAAGAGGUUGUAAAAACAAUUUAGAGCACACAUGGGAUUGAGGUCAAUGUACUAAUGUUGAUAGAGGAUUAGUUAACAGGCAGAAAAGAGACCAAAGGAAAUGGAUAAUUUUCAGGUGGAAGGCAGUGACUAGUGGUGCUGAGACCAUGGGUCAUUUGCUGUCUCGUUAGUGUAAGUGAGGAAACUUAUUACUCUUGAUUUUUUUUCUCCCAUGUUAAAAAAUUAUGUAAAUUAAAAAUAAAAUUUAUAUUUUUGAUGUAAAUACCAUAGAAACAUAGAAAAUAGAUGUGGUUAUGGGAUAUAUUCUAGAUAAUAAAAUCAAGGAGAGUAAUUGGAUCUGUUUGCUCAUUCUCUGAAAGGUAUUUUGGUUGUAACAUUUCUUGUCUUGAGGUUUUCCCAGUCCAAGUCGAAUCGACAUCCUCUGUCCCCUGGUUCACAUCGGCUGAAUAAGCUCAAGGGAAGUAUUUAAGGAGAAGGCAGUGAGUACGUAUUAGAAAUUCUAUGAAAACUAGUUAAAAUUUUAUUACUUGAAUAAUAUGCAGAGGAACGAGCUAGAUAUGGAUUUAUGUUAAACAUUAAUAUUCAGUUAAUCUGUUAGUUUGAUAUGAUGGGAAAAGUGGAAACCGACUUUUCGUCAGCUUUCUGUCUUUGACCAAUACAUUUUGCAAAUAUAAAGUGUAGCAGUUAAACCCAUUUUUUCUCAGAGUGCCGCAGGUAUCGUGGCUGAGCCCCAGGUCAGUAAUCUGAAUGAGGAAACCAAGUGCACUGUGUCCAUGUCUGCUGAUGUAUCAGUGUAAAAGCAAGGAACUGCAGAUGCUGGUUUCACAAAAAUAAGACACAAAGAGCUGGAGUAACUCAGCUGGUCAGGCAGCAUCUCUGGAGAACGUUGAGACGUGACGUUAUGGGUCAGACCCUUCUUGAGACUCAUUGGUCAGUCUGAAGAAGGGUCCUGACCCAAAACGUCACCUAUCCACAUUCUCCUGCUAUGCUGCCUGACCCGCUGAGUUACUCCAGCACUAAGUAUCAGCGUACCUUGUGCGCAAAAUACAAACAGGCAUCAGAGGCGUUUAGACAAGCAAGUGAAUGGAGGAGGAUGGGACAAAUGAAAUAUAAAGAUGAAAUAAGUGUGGUCACACACUUCUGUAGAAUAAAGCAAAUACUGGUCGUUUCUUUAUAACGUGAAAGAUUGGGAGUAGGUUGGUAAUCCAAGUGCAUUCCUUGUGCACACAUUAUACAAAGCUGAUGUGUGCGUGCAAUAUGGAAUUAGGAAGGUAUGCCAACUUGUGGAGGAUAUCCAGCAGCUUUAAUAUUGUCCUUUUCACUAAACUAAACAGUUCAGCGCCACCAGAAAAAAAUGUGAGAUAACAUAGAACUAGCGUGAACGGGUGAUUGAUGGUUAGUAUGGACUCGGUGGGCCGAAGGGCCUGCUUCCACGCAGUAUCCCUGAACUGAACUAAGAAGGUAUUUUCAUUGUGCUCCUUUACUGGAUUCCAGUUACUAAAAUAUUUCAUGAGGCUAAGUAGCUUUAAUAUUAUUUUUACAUGGUUAUUUAAUUCACAAAUUGCAAUCCUUGGUUACAGGUUUCCACAUCUACGAUCGAGAUGAACUUGUAUUGCUGGUUCAGUGAGUGGAAUCUGCAACUCCAGCUGCUCGCGUGAAAUCUUGGCUUCUCCCUCCAGAAGAUUCAAGUCCAGCAUUCGAAUGGAAGGACAGAAGUCAUGUAAUGGGCGGAAUUGUCAUCAUGAGGUGGGGAACAGAACCAAGGAUCUCUGGAAAAAUGUGGAUUUGAGACAUUACCCAAGGGAAUUAAAGUGAGGAUUUUGCCAAUAUCCCAGAAUCUAAAGUAAACAAGCAUCAUCUGAUGCUGGUACCAACCCUACAAAACACAGGUGGGUUUCCUCUGGGUGCUCCGGUUUCCUCCCACAUCCCAAAGACGGGCGGGUUUGGCCCCUGUGAAUUGCCGAGUGUGUCGGAUGCCAAACUGGGAUAACAUAGAACAAGUGUACAGGUGAGUGUUGGUCAGGACAGACUGGGUGAGCCGAAGGGCUAGUUUCCAUGCUGUAUCCAUACACUAAACUAACUGCUGGUUAAACAACAUCUUGUGAACCUUUUGUUAUGUGUCACGUUGGCAGUAACCUCUGUAAAUACCAAUCUUGCUUUACUUCUGCUAUUCUGCAACAAUCAGAUUUGUGAUUUGAGAAAUCCCAAAUCAAAAUACUGCAGAUGCUGGGAGUCUAAAGUAGAAACAGAAAACAUCAGAGGUAUACAAUGUGUCAGAAAACAUCUGUGAAGGGAGAAACACUGCGAAAACAUUGCAAUGUAACUCUGGUUCUCUCUUCAUAGGUUCUACCUGACAUACUGUUACCUCCAGCAUUUAUUCUCAUUUGAGCGUCCAGGAGCGGAAAAGACAGCAAAAAGUUGUAAACACUGCCCGGUCCAUCAUCGGCUCUGACCUCCCUACCAUCGAGGGGAUCUAUCGCAGUCGCUGCCUCAAAAAGGCUGCCAGCAUCAUCAAGGACCCACACCAUCCUGGCCACACACUCAUCUCUCCGUUGCCUUCGGGUAAAAGGUACAGGAGCCUGCAAUCUGCAACAUCCAGGUUCAGGAAUAGCCACUUCCCCACAGUCAUCAGGCUAUAGACUCAGCUCAAACAAAACUGAACAUUAAUAGCCCAUUGAACGUUAUAUGUGUGUAUGUAUAUAUAUAUAUUCAAUGGUAUAUGGACACACUGAUCAGUUCUGUAUUUAUUUUUGCCUACUGUAUUUUGUUGUGUUGAAGCAAAGCAAGAAUUUCAUUGUCCUAUCUGGGACACAUGACAAUAAACUCUCUUGAAUGUCUUGAAUCUCAUUUAACUUGUAAAAUCUCUCCACUACAAUGACUGCAUCUUUUGUUAAUUUUCUAGCUCUGUUCUUUCCUUGGCCAAGUGGAAAAUGCAGAGACACGCUCAGGUUUCAGUUUAGUAUGGUCACCUGUACGGGGGUUUAGUUUUGCAGGCUAUCCAGUAAAACAGAUAACAUGGCACAUAGAUAAUAUUGAGCCAAACUCAAGUACCGUCGACAGAGCAAAGGGGGAGAUACAGAGUAUCUAGUUAACAUACUCUUCAGAGAAUAUAUUUAAAGGAGUAGCGUGUUUGUACUGAAUGAUAGUACAUCCUCCUAUGGGACCAGUGGCAAGGAGUUGCCCUGCUCUGAUGCCUUCUUAGUCCUUCAGUUAGUCGUUGACCUGUUUCAUUUGACCAUUUGAAAUAUAUACAACCGGCAUGAAUUGAACUGGCUCCUGGUGUUCCUGCUCUCCUCACCUAGAAGUGUCUAACCUUUCAAUGUUGUGUAUUUGCUAUUGAGAGAUGCCAGGUUACCACGAGAAGCAGUUUUCCUGUUGAUGUACAUAUGAGGAUAUUUACAGCGUUGAUGCUGGUCCAGCAGAUCGAAAGACUGUUCAUGUCUCCCACAUACACACAGUAAAACUACGUGGAACUAAUCUAGGUGUUCUUAAGUGUAAUUCUGACCUCCAGAUUUCUACGAUUGUGACUGAGUUGGCUCUGUAAGGCAGGGUGUAAAUGUGGCCGGGAUGUAGGACUUAAAGUUGCUGUUAUCUGAACUUUAUUUAACCCACAUUGUAAGAUCUGAGAGUGCUUAAGAUGCACAUAGAGUGAAAAGAGAAAGGAGAAAUCUGUUGUUUUGCAAAUCCUUACGAGCACAAGCAGACACAAGAGAAGCAAUCUACAUAUUCAUCAUGUGGAUUAGUACUGAACUCCCCACUUUCCAGGGUCCCUGAUGCA